UACGAAGGGGGCUAGCGUUGUUCGGAAUUACUGGGCGUAAAGCGCACGUAGGCGGAUAUUUAAGUCAGGGGUGAAAUCCCGGGGCUCAACCCCGGAACUGCCUUUGAUACUGGGUAUCUCGAGUCCGAGAGAGGUGAGUGGAAUUCCGAGUGUAGAGGUGAAAUGCGUAGAUAUCUGGAGGAAUACCGGUGGCGAAGGCGGCAUCCUGGACCAUUACUGACGCUGAGGCGCGAAAGCUAGGGGAGCAAACGGG
rnacentral:rRNA from 1 species